AUACGUAGGGGGCGAGCGUUGUCCGGAAUGAUUGGGCGUAAAGGGCGCGUAGGCGGCUUUGCAAGUCAGUAGUGGAAGUCCAUUUUUCAAGGAUGGAAGUGCUACAGAAACUGCGGAGCUUGAGUGCAGGAGAGGUUAUCGGAAUUCCCGGUGUAGCGGUGAAAUGCGUAGAGAUCGGGAGGAACACCAGUGGCGAAGGCGGGUAACUGGACUGCAACUGACGCUGAGGCGCGAAAGUGUGGGGAGCAAACAGGAUUAGAUACCCUGGUAGUCCACACUGUAAACGAUGAAUGCUAGGUGUAGGAGGUAUCGACCCCUUCUGUGCCGCAGUAAACACAGUAAGCAUUCCGCCUGGGGAGUACGGUCGCAAGGCUGAAACUCAAAUGAAUUGGCGGGG
rnacentral:rRNA from 1 species